rnacentral:tRNA from 4 species
GCCCCGGUGGUGAAAUUGGUAGACACACCGGACUUAAAAUCCGUUGCCUGCAAGGGCGUGCCGGUUCGAUUCCGGCCCGGGGCACCA